UAGCAAUUCCCAUUCAUAGUUCAAAAUUCAAUGUGUUAACAUAGAGAAAAAUAUUUAUGUAUAAAAUAUUUGCAAUUUCAUUUUGUUAGUUGUGUUCUGGGUUUCGUUCUCUAAUUGAGCCAUAAUUAAGCUGAGACUGAGCUAAUAAUCCCAACUGAAUUAGCAUCCCGUUGAGCUUCGCAUAGCUUUUAGACGGAAACCCCCUAAGUAAUCAACAUGUGUUGUGGACCAGCUUCGUGCUGCCCGAGCUGCGGCCCACCCUGUGGCGGACCCUAUUCUACGCAAUGUUGCGUGGAGCUCUGCUGUUCCCCCUGUACCCCGGCCUACUUGCAGUGCACCAUCUGUCCCUGCUACCCUCGCUGUUGCUAGCCCAGUGAAGGACGAAAAGUUAACAUUGACCUCACGGCGGAUAGUCCUAUACAUUGCUGAUCCCAACUAACGAAAUGAUAAUGCAAAACAAAAAAAAAUAAAUAAAAUAUAAUAGAGGAACGAUCAUAAGACAAUAUUGCCUCCAUUUGUUCCUUGGGCAGAGAUGGGACUAUAAUUUUUUCGACUGUUGGGCUAGUCCCGGAUUUGAACCCAGCUCCACCAGCCAGAUGGCCUAGUCCCGUGGGCGAUUGCCAUUUAUUACUCACUUUUGUAUUGAGCCUGAACAGGCUGUGGCUUUUCAUUUACUAGAAUGUGUGUAUUCAAUCGAAUGAAUUCAGUUGGUUGCUAAAUUCAAUUCCGAUCCGGUUAGGUGCGUUGUUCGGCUGAUUUUCAGAUAUUUCCACAGAGGCACCAUGUGCUGUCCAAGUCGCUAUUACCGGAACACGCCGUGCGUGCAGUGCUGUCUCAUCGACUGCAGCUACUGCUGCUUCCGAUCAGACUGUUGUGGCCCCUGCUGCGGGACCACCCACCCGCCUAGCUUGUGCGGCGGGUGCUGUGGAUCUUGCUGCUAGCAGGGCUGAAGAUGGACCACGACAACGCACCCCGACCCGGCGGACUGGCAAGCAUUCUCCAACUGGAUGUAGAAUUUAUUCUCUUUUAUGAACAGCAACAGCAACAGCAACAGAACGGGUAGUAGUAGGCUUCGAAUCGAUUUGGAGCAGCUGUCCAGGUUGACGAGCUGCCGAAUAUUGGCUGGAGCUCAUUCCGACUUUGAGCCUGGUUGUGAACACAUCAAAAAAAGUUUUCAAUCUCCAAAAACCAACAUCUUUUGGAACCCUUUUUUUGUUUGUGACUUGGUCUACCUUUGACAG
rnacentral:sRNA from 1 species